rnacentral:lncRNA from 1 species
AAGCGGGAGCGGGCCGAGCUCCUAUAAGACAACCUGUGAUUGGCUCCGCGGUGCCCCGCCCUCACCGGGCUCUGAGUGCUCUUGCCCGUCCGGCCCCAGCCGCGGCCCGGGAAUCUACGUCACCCGAAAAGCGACUAUAAACGCCGGCGCCUCCGUCCCCAGCCGCGGCUCGGGAAUCCACCCGAAGAGUGGCUAUAAACGUCCGCGCCUCCAUUGCGCUCUCCUCUUCACUUAGGACACUGGUCCUCCCACGCCUGACACCGACGUCGCCAGGACCGCGGGGUUGGGGGAACUUGGCUGUCCCACGUCUUUCAAAUAAAGCUGUUUUGUCUAACUCAC